rnacentral:rRNA from 1 species
GAAUAUUGGACAAUGGGCGCAAGCCUGAUCCAGCCAUGCCGCGUGUGUGAAGAAGGCCUUCGGGUUGUAAAGCACUUUUGUACGGGAAGAAACCUUCCGGGCUAAUACCCCGGGAGAAUGACGGUACCGUAAGAAUAAGCACCGGCUAACUUCGUGCCAGCAGCCGCGGUAAUACGAAGGGUGCAAGCGUUACUCGGAAUUACUGGGCGUAAAGCGCACGUAGGCGGUGUGUUAAGUUGGAUGUGAAAGCCCCGGGCUCAACCUGGGAAUUGCAUUCAAAACUGGCACGCUAGAGUAUGUGAGAGGGGGGUAGAAUUCCAAGUGUAGCGGUGAAAUGCGUAGAGAUUUGGAGGAAUACCAGUGGCGAAGGCGGCCCCCUGGCACAAUACUGACGCUCAGGUGCGAAAGCGUGGGGAGCAAACAGG